rnacentral:ribozyme from 1 species
ACCAAUGCACAUAUCACAGGUGUACGUUGUUCUUGAAUUUUUUCCACAGGCUCUCAUACUCAACUCGUAUUUCGAUAUGUUCUCGUCGUGCAGAGUGGUAGCACACAUCACCAAUUUCAUUAAGCUUGGGCAUACGGGAUCCCCUUGGACAGAUGGUGAUGUGUGGCGAAAGAGGA